AGGCUGAGCGAGCGAGAGCAGCCGCAGCCCGCAGGAGGCCCCGUCCCCUCUCAAUGGAGGAGCAGCCCGGCCCCCCAGCGCCGCCGCCGCCCCAACAGCAGCAGCCACCCCAGCAGCAGCAGCAGGCGCCGCCGCCGCCGCAGCCCCACUAUCACCACCACCACCAUCACCACCACCAGUCCUUCUACUACUACAAUCACCACCACCACCAGUACUCGGCCGACGGCAGCCCCGGCAAGGCCCAGCCGCAGAAGCCGCCCCUGCAAGCCCUGAAACAUGAGCCCAAGCCCGCAGCAGCAGGAGGCAGCGGCAGCCUCCAGCAGCAGGAAGCGCCCAGGAAGAAAACAGGCCACGGUGAGCUCAAUGGGAAUGUCGGGGAAAGAGAAGUAUCUGUAAAGAGUCUAAACUCGGUGGAAUCCGCCAGCCUUAUUUCCAGGGUUCCCAAUGGUAGCCAGCAGCCCGGAGAUACUAGCCUCAUGCUCAGACAGACUGUGAAGGGUGGCACCUUUGGAAAAGGUGGACUCAAAUCCAAGAAUUUCAUUCCAAAAGGAGGCAUGGACAGAAGGAAUGAGAAAUGUUAUGAAAACAAAACGAGGGAGAACCAACCCUCUGAAAAGUGCGAGGUGGUCUCUGUUCCCAACGGUGUCAUCACGAGCAGCUGUAGCUAUAUCACUAACGGUUACAUCAGCAAAGGGCUGGACAAUGACGGGAGUGGGUCAGAGAGCGGCUACACCACUCCCAAGAAGCGGAAAGGUAGGCGCAACAGUGCCAAGGGCUGUGAGAACCUGAAUCUGGUGCAGGAGAAAAUGCUCCAUGAACCUGUGGUCGCCACCUCGGCCUUAAAACCUGACCCCGAAGGUUUCAAAACUGACUGCGUUGAAAUGAAGGGGAGCAGAGUAGAUGGCAUGAAGCUUGCUUGGAAGUGUGAGGCGGGGGCCAUGGGAGCAGGCCGUGGGAAGCCUGGUGUCGGGGAUGUGCAGCGGAAGAACUCGGACAUCAAGGUUGGGGUCCCUAGCAAAAAGUUUGAGGAGCGGCCCAAGGGGAAACCUGUGUCAGCAGCUGCCUCCAAAGAGGAUUCUUGGACUCUCUUUAAACCACCGCCGGUUUUUCCGGUGGACAACAGCAGUGCAAAAAUUGUUCCUAAGAUCAGUUAUGCAAGCAAAGUAAAAGAGAACCUCAACAAAGCUGCACAAGCCCCGUCUUUGUCGUCGUCAUCUUCAUCGUCCUCCUCCUCUUCCUCUUCCUCCUUGUGUUUGUCGUCCGCCACUGAAGUCCAGCCCUCCAGCCGCCUUUCUCAAGUCCCCAUGUCCGCUAUGAAAUCCGUUACUUCUGCUAGCUUUUCCAAUGGUCCGCUUUUAGCCGGGGCCGACCGCAGUGUGUGUUCUACUGGGAGCCAGUCACUGCUCGCGCCUGCUGCUAGUGCCAUCUUGCUGGCCUCUUCGGAGUUAGUCCCCCAGGAUGCGGGUAUGACCUCGGCCACGGAGCAGAAGAAAUCGAGUCUUUUUAUCUACCCUUCAAAUAUGCAAGCUGUUCUCCUCAAUGCCGCGCCGGCUGAACCGUCAUUCCAGGCGAACCAACAGAGCCUUGGUGACAUCUUCCAGAACCAGUGGGGGUUAUCGUUUAUAAAUGAGCCCAAUGCGGGCCCUGAGACUGCGGCUAGGAAAUCGGUGGACAGUAAAUCCGAGGAGGUGACAUUUCAAGGGGAAUGCCCUACUGCUUUGGCUUCACAGGUUGCUGACGCAGCUCCCUCAGGACCUGACCAGCCUGUGUUCCCCAAGGCUUAUGAGCUGGACAAACGGACUAGUCCGCAGCUUCUUGGUAGCAUCGUAAAGCUUGGGACUGCUGGCGAGGGGGGUGGUUUUUUGUUGGAGUCCCAUCAAGCGAGCGGUCUGCACCCGGCUGAACUUAGUAGCCCAGGGGCAUUUAUCUUUCUCUCCAAGGACUAUCAUGUAGAGAAUCAGCUGGCCUCCCCUACGAACGGUUUGUUAGCCUCCACCAAAGAGCAGAGGUACCAGAGAGGCCUAGAAAGGAAAGAGAGCUGGGGUGAUUUUGACCUGAGGGCGGCUGUUCUAUAUCACACUCAAGAAAUGGAAUCUCUUUGUAAUUUGCAAAAGCAAGAUCCCAAAAGGAUAAUCACUUAUGGCGAAGCCAUGGAUCACCCUGACCAGUGAGGCCAGCGAGGAGGCACUGCCCGAGGGGGGGGCCUCCGGUGGCGACUGCGUGCUGUCCGCCGAGGCCAGGCAGCAGCUGCUUUGGUGCUCUUUCCGGAACUGUCUGGCACGGCAGGGGAAUCUGAACUAGAAUUGCAGGAUAAUAUAUACAAAUAUAUAUAUAAAUAUAAAUAUAUAUAUAUAGUUAUUUUAAAAAAUUUAAAAAAGGGCCUCUGGGCAUGAGGAGACUUCACAAGGAAUUGAUAGAGACUUGCAUUAUGGGAUUAUUUAAACUUCUGGUUCGGAAUUUUCACUUCCUCCUCUCCUUGCCUUUUUUUUUUGAGGGGGUGCGGGUUGUUCCAAGAGUGGACCUCAACUCCAACUGGACGCAGGCUCAGCCCACCCUGCUGGCUCUGGCCAUCUGUGAGAGAGAGUUCUUCAACUUUGGCUGGGAUCCUGCAGCCAUCUUGAACAUGCUAAUGAUGAGGAACUACCGGGGGAGAGGGGAGCCCUUGGCUUCUCGCCUCUCCCCUUCUCUCUUGCCAUGCUGCUGACCACCUCUUUCCCUCCCCCCUCCAGUUUUACUUGAAUCCUGCCGAAGAAGGCUGGGGAGGGGGGGAACCUGAGCAUUGCAAGGUUCUUCUCUCUGCUGCUCCCCCAUUGCGGGGAGGGGCGUCUUAAAACCUCACGUGUGUCUUCUUCCCUCUCUGGGGAAUGGUCACUCUGUGGUUCUGGAAUCCCAAAUUUAGGGCAUGAGGAACAAACCAUGGGGCUUGGCAAGACUGAAGUUGCAAUGAAGUGUGGAGUGCGCUGAAGCUUUCUCUUGGGAAAGGCUGCGAAAAGGCAGACAGGUGUGCUCCUCUUGGGAUGUGUGCGAAGCCACUGUUACCUCCACGCUCUGGGAUUCCUCCCCAUUCCCCAUGUGACAGGGCAGGCAUCUGCCGCAAUGCUUGUGUUUGGUUCAUGGUGUCCCUUUCUGGGUCCUACUGGUCUGUCAGGAGGCAAACAACCCAAUUUUUCUCCUCCCUUCUUCCCCCUCCUCCCACCCAGAGAUCUGUGCUGCCACCGUUUUAAAUUUUUUUUUUUGUUGUGUCCUUAACAUGCCUUUUAAAAACUUUAUUUGCUUCUAUUAAAGUUGCUCCUGGCAAAAAAAAAAAAUAAACCUUCACUUGGAGCCCUUUAAAA